AACGCGAAGAACCUUACCAGGUCUUGACAUCCUCUUGAAUACAUUGGAGACAGUGUAGGCCUUCGGGACAAGAGAGACAGGUGGUGCAUGGUUGUCGUCAGCUCGUGUCGUGAGAUGUUGGGUUAAGUCCCGCAACGAGCGCAACCCUUGAUCUUAGUUGCCAGCAUUCAGUUGGGCACUCUAGGAUGACUGCCGGUGACAAACCGGAGGAAGGUGGGGAUGACGUCAAAUCAUCAUGCCCCUUAUGACCUGGGCUACACACGUACUACAAUGGCCGGUACAACGGGAAGCGAAGUCGCGAGAUGGAGCGAAACUUAAAAAGCCGGUCUCAGUUCGGAUUGCAGGCUGCAACUCGCCUGCAUGAAGUCGGAAUUGCUAGUAAUCGCGGAUCAGCAUGCCGCGGUGAAUACGUUCCCGGGCCUUGUACACACCGGUAUCUC
rnacentral:rRNA from 1 species